rnacentral:lncRNA from 1 species
AUCACUUGAGCUGCCAAAAAGCUGACAAUCAGCAGUUAUUUCUCUGUUGUCAACUGGUAAUGGGUAAGAAAGGAAAAGGUUUCCUACUUAACAACACCUCUAGUACCAAACAUUCAGGUUUCCACACCAAUUUAGUUGUUUGCAGACACCAACUGGAUGUCCUCCAAUUUCUAUCAAUUUUGCCAUAAUAAACAUCCUACUGGUGAAGUGGGCUCAGUCUGAGAAGACUGCCAGUCUCCUCCCCCUAUAUUCAGACACUAAUGAUGAGUCCUACAUUACUGAUUUGGUUACAAAUUGAACCCUCUGGGUUCAGUAAUUUUCUAUGGUAACUCAUCAAACUUAAAGAGACAAUUUAAAGUUACCAUUUACUCUAAAUUAUAUCGUGAAUGUCACAGGAGCAGCCAGAUGAAGAGAUGAACAAGAUCCAAAGGGUUCCCCAUGUGAAGGUGUGUUUGUCCCCAGAGUCGAGUGCUUCACCUGUUGAGCCUUGCUGUUUAGUGUUUGUAUGAAGAUUACAGUGCGUGCCCAUGACUGAUGAAGGCCUUGGCUGUUAGAUAGGUUUCCCCUUCCAGAAGUCAGCAGGGGUUGUUAAAAGUUCCAACUCUCUUAGCACAUAGUUGGCUCCUUUGACAACUAGCCCCAAUCCUGGAGCUAGCAAGGAGUCUAGCGACAAGUCGCUUUAGCAUAAACAGAUGACGGCAAGAGACCUUAGGAGUAACAAAAGGUUUUAGGUUUUCUUUGUGUGUGUGGUGCUGGAAACUGGAGAGAGACCAAACAUGCUUAAGUCACAGGCAAAAACCCAUUUACUUGGUUCAAAUCCCCUUAAGUCUGGGGAAUUUUGGGUUUGUUUGUCUUUAGUUCAGUAGUAAAUAGGAUAAAAUGAAAACCCAGCUCUGGGGAAGCCAUUAGCUCUAGGAGCAAAGAUGAACCCUGGGCAGUGUAGACUAUUAGUGCUUUUCCAUAUAGCAGUUCUUUCCAAAAUGUCUUCAUUUAAGAGUUGUGUAAUGGCUAGUGACAUGGCUCACAGGUAAAGGCUAAACUCGACCCAAGUUUCAAUCUCUAGAGCCCACAUGAUGGGAAGGACAGAUUGACACACAGUUGUCCUCUGGCCUCUGUGCAUGCAUGAAAAUAAUAAUGUCAUUUAAAAAAAACCUAAAAUACCUAUACUGAAAUUAAGCAUAUUGAUCAUCUUGAAGUGUGCAAUUCGUCUAUUCAAAUAAAUCUAAUAAUCUGCUGAAUUGCUGAGACUUGCUUUCUAUAAUGAGACUAUAUGCUAUCAUGAUCAUUUUUAUUUUGAGACUACAGUUAGCCUGAGGAAGUACCUGGGUUUAAAUAUCGGAGGGUUGGGGUUGGGG